AAAAAACAAAACAAAACAUGUUUUUGUUUGUUGAAGGACAAGCCAGAAGGAGGCUGCGGUGGAGGCGGAGCGGUGGGGAGGGUUCUGCCCUGGAAUUUGGCUGCAUCUGGUGAAGCUCAUUGUCUUCGAGGUGUUUUUUUUUUUUCAUGUGAAAAUACAGGAAGGCUGUUUUCAGUGGAUCUUUUGUCCUCAAUCCAAAAGGUGUUUUUCUCCUCUAAGAAAGCAAAGUGCAUGUUCUGCCUGGUCCCUAUUGUGGAGCUGGCCCAGCGUGGAUGGCUUAACUGGACUGACCUGCUGUGAGCAGCCGGCCGCACUGCAACUCCCACUCACUCAGCCAAGAGAGGCUAUGGGGACCCAAGCCCUGCUUUGAGAGAGACUGUCUGAGGUGGCUAUACAGAGCCCGGGGCCCUGCUGGUGGCAGUGACAUGGCUGAAAUGGGGUUGCCACUCAAUUAGGUCACAGGAUUCUGCCCCCAGGGGUCCUGACUCUGUCAGAAGAGUCCACUGGAGUGUGACGAGGGGUGCCUGUCAUCAGAACCCAGCCUGGGCAGGGCCUUCUGCCAAUGCCUCUCAUAAGCAGAGCAAACACUGGGCCACAGAGCUGGGACCUCAUGAAUGGGACAGGCAAGACAGGUGGGGAGUGGUGUGAGGCCUUGGUCCAUUUCAUUGCUGACAUUAGCCCUGCACCAGCGGGAGAACGUUUCUUCCUUUAAUCACCCCAAGAUUAGCCUGCAGUUGCCUCUUUCUGUUGGAUAUUUGAAUAACAAGCUUGAUGAGGCCACUUAACUCCCUCCAAUUACAGCUAAAGAUUUCCUAGAUGAAAGACCUUGAUCCACUGCCUUUCAUGAUUCAGCACUGGAUUUUCUGUUCCAUGCAGCCUUCUAUUGGAAUAAUUUUGUGAAAUGAAGGCAACAAAGUAUUGUUUUCUUAAUCAAAGAGAACUUCAUAAAAAUUGUGCUCCUUGACUGCUAAUUUGUCCUGCAUUGUUACCGAUGCUUUUCUUAUGAUUUUUGUUUUGCACUGAACAGCCCCCUGGCUGAGAGAAAACCCCGAAGCAGUUAAGAUACCAGGAAAGGAAGACUUGAAAAUUGUGAGUCUUUCUCAGUAGAGGAGGCAGUGUGCUGUUAUAUGCUGAUGCAGCUCCUUGUCUUGGACUCAUAACUGACAGAACAGCAUGUGGACCUCACCGCUCCUUGGACUUCGAGUGGCGCUACUCUAACGCUGAGUCCUGACCUGGAUCCCUGUUUGCUUGCCUAGACCUAAGGCGGUGGUGCAGACCUUCCCCCACCCCACAUACCAUCGCCUUCUGGAAUGUGGCUUUGUGGAACUGAGGCUGAGACAAUCACAGUGCCCCAUUCUUCUGGUCAUGUGACAGGUCUGGACCUGGUCAUGUGGCAAAGUCGAAUCUAAGUCACAUCAAAGCAGGGAGAGUUAAAGCAAAUCUUUUCUCUCUUGUUGUGGAGCUGGAAUAUGAGCCCAGAAGCUUCCAGAACACAUGGUCCUGCCCUCAUAAAGAAGCUCAAGUGAGGGAACAAAAUCGACUUAGGUAGCAGCGAGCAUGGAUGGGGCCUGGCUACAUCAAGUUCUCAGAUCCUGUUGUCCCCACCCACCCCCUGUAACUUGCCAAUUUUAUCCAUCAAGCAUCCUCUCCUCUCUCCCAACUUGUCUGAGUUCUGUUUCUGUCAUUGUCACCAAGAGAGCUUUGAUGAGUAAGAAAUCCCAACAUUCCACGGGAGUCUUGGUGGUUUAAAUUUUUAAGUGAGUCCUCACUUGUUAAAGUCUUAUUCCUGUUAGAGGGCACUUCCAUAGUCCAGAAGGUGGGGAAUUCCUAUAGGUGACCUGUGGUCUCUCUAAGCAAUUUGACCAGGACUAUUUAAUAAAAUAUUUUAAAAAUGGUUCCUUUUAAUUAUUCAUUUUCAAAUGUAUAUUUGUUCUUGGCAAACAAGAGAUGAUUUGCGUUAAUCAGUGAUCUUUAAGCAAAUUCCUUGCAAUACUUUAUCUCCAUAUAAACUCGAAGCUUCUUAAAUGAAAUAGUACCUGUGUAUUUCAUAUGGCUUCCUCUUUUAUAAAUAAAAUGAAUGGACUUGGGACCAAAACAGAAUUUUUUUUUUCGGGAACUAUAGGACUGGAAUCUUUUUAUCCAAGGCAGUUGGAUCCCACAGUACAUUUUCACUGUAACAGACAAUGAGGUUGAGUCAAUAAAUAAAUAAAUAAAGUCACCAACAUGUCCAAAAGCCUCCAUUUAAAACUCAAAGCCAGUGGUUUUGGGUUUCACCUUUUCCUUUAAAAUUAAAUUCCCUGAAACCAUAUUUUAAAAAUGCUAUCUGAAUGGGAACCGCCAAACUGGGAAACUUUAAGUUUAAAAAUAGAACUGCAUCUGAAUUAUCUUAUAGAAAUUUGUCUUCUAACCAGCCAUCAGUAACUGUAAGCAUGCUUCAUAGAUCUACAUAUUUCAGCACUUUUUACAUUCUGAAAGAAUCUUGCUUAGAUACGAAGGUUAACUGGACACCUUUUUCUGCAUUCACCUUUAAUACUGGAUGCCCCCUUUAUCUGCACUCCCAAGCUGGGAAGCCCCAGAGUGGGCUCUUGGCCCCUUGCGGCCAACUGAAGUUCUCCAUCUCUGCAGCCUCCGUGAUCACCUUAAGAAUAGGCUCGCGACCUCCUUUGGGCCACACAGAGUCCUUCUCAGGGCUUGCGCUGGAGCUCUCAGGAGGGAUGCUCGCUUUCUCACUGAUCAGGAACUCUAAGGACCAAAGCCUGGAGUGAGGAUGUGAUCUGCUUGCAAGCGAAGGAGGCAGGAGGCAGCCGGACUCGAGGGCACACAUGACCUGGCAGGGCUGAACCUCAGGCUCCGGUGAGGCUGGCUCCUGACUGCCCCUCUGGACUUUCUCAGUUAUUUCAGGCCAUGGAUUAUCUUUAGUGCUUAAGCUAGUUUGAGUUGUGUUUCUGCCACUCAUAAUUCAGAGAAUCCUGGUGGCUUCAGUGUGAUCAGGAAGACAUUGGGAGCCAUUUUAGUUUUUACUUAACUUUUCCAAACUUGCUAGACAGGCUGAUUAUGGGUCUGUGCUAGUCUGGGAACCUGUGUUUGCUCUCUUAAGCCAUGGGUCUUAGACUCAUUUCCUGUUGCAAACAGGAUGCACUGCACAUUUUUACUGUGUUUUUGCUGCCCAUAAGUGGGAGGCAGAUUCGAAUGAUAGAAUUGGAAAGGUUCCAAAAGCACCAGCCAUGGUAGGGACCCUGAAGAUUGCAAGAUAAACAAAAGCAUUCAGAACUUGUGAUGGGAGUGUGAGAGGAUUGAGCGUUGAAGUCAGCCUAACAGAGGCUGUCGUUUACCCGGUGAAAUCCUCAAGUUACAAACAGCUGCUGUGCAAUUGGAAGUCACAGUCUUCAGUUAGGCUUGAUUUGUCAUUUGGUUUAUAAAUAAGCUUUCAUUUUGUCUUUUUUUUUUUUUUUUUUUGGUCUGGCAAUGUGGUAUCUCUUCCUUGCAGGAUUUGGGAAGCUGGGAAUAUGUGUGACCCACACUACCUGAGGGUGAUAGACUUUGACAGUGUCUCCAGCAUUUUCAUGUUGAAAUCUGCUUUAUCCUAAUUUCCAGUCUUGGUCUUGUCUGUCACAGGCUGGGGAGAAGAGCACCGUCCAGAGAAGGACCCAAUAAGGGACAUUUCCACCUUGCUUAGUGGGUUGAGGGCUGGGCUUUGGGUUUGAGAUGUGAAGAGAAAGAAGCUACGUGGAAGAGAAAGGAUGGAGGUACAAGGACGCCCUCCAGCCGGCUACACUUCUGAAACUAAAACAUACAAAACUCAGUGGCUUUUCCUCAACUCCUAUGAUGGAUGUGCAAGGACGCCCUCCAGCUGGCUGCAUUUCUGAUGCUAAAAAUACAAAACUCAGCAGCUUUGCCCAUACUCCUAUGAUGCCUG
rnacentral:lncRNA from 10 species